AGUAGGGAUCGUUCUAGGCCGGGGAUUAGGAGGGAUUGCUAAACACUUGAAAACUGACUUAAAAACAUAAACACAAAAUUUAAAACACUAAACUAGACUCAAAGAAUGCAAAACUAUACUUUAAAAUACUUAAACAAACAGAAAACUCAAAACAGCAACCUAAUGACUCAAAACCGCCUAAAAACCACUUUCUGGGCAGUUUUGAGAACCUAACAAGAACUUGGACGAAGUUGGAUGAAAACUUGAAUCA
rnacentral:lncRNA from 1 species